AACGAACGCUGGCGGCAUGCCUAACACAUGCAAGUCGAACGAGACCUUCGGGUCUAGUGGCGCACGGGUGCGUAACGCGUGGGAACCUGCCCUUAGGUUCGGAAUAACUCCCCGAAAGGGGUGCUAAUACCGGAUAAUGUCUUCGGACCAAAGAUUUAUCGCCUUUGGAUGGGCCCGCGUUGGAUUAGCUAGUUGGUAGGGUAAAAGCCUACCAAGGCGACGAUCCAUAGCUGGUCUGAGAGGAUGAUCAGCCACACUGGGACUGAGACACGGCCCAGACUCCUACGGGAGGCAGGAGUGGGGAAUAUUGGAGAAUGAGCGAAAGUGUGGUCACGCAACGCCGCGUGAGUGAUGCAGGCCUUAGGGUUGUAAAGCUCUUUUAGCCGGGAUGAUAAUGACAGUACCGGGAGAAUAAGCACCGGCUAACUACGUG
rnacentral:rRNA from 1 species